UACGGAGGAUGCAAGCGUUAUCCGGAUUCAUUGGGUUUAAAGGGUGCGUAGGCGGGCUAUUAAGUCAGUGGUGAAAUCCUGCAGCUUAACUGCAGAACUGCCGUUGAUACUGAUAGUCUUGAGUUUGGUUAAGGUAGGCGGAAUGUGUAAUGUAGCGGUGAAAUGCUUAGAUAUUACACAGAACACCAAUUGCGUAGGCAGCUUACUGAGCCGACACUGACGCUGAGGCACGAAAGUGUGGGGAGCAAACAGGA
rnacentral:rRNA from 1 species